rnacentral:rRNA from 1 species
AAACCUACCAAGGCAACGAUCCGUAGCUGUUCUGAGAGGAUUAUCAGCCACACUGGGACUGAGAUACUGCCCAGACUCCUACGGGAGGCAGCAGUGGGGAAUAUUGGACAAUGGGGGAAACCCUGAUCCAGUCAUGCCGCGUGUGUGAAGAAGGCCUUUGGGUUGUAAAGCACUUUUAGUGAGGAAGAAAACUUAUAAAAGAAAAAGUUAUAAAUAUGACGGUACUCACAGAAGAAGCACCGGCUAACUCCGUGCCAGCAGCCGCGGUAAAACGGAGGGUGCAAGCGUUAAUCGGAAUUACUGGGCGUAAAGGGCAUGUAGGCGGUUUGUUAAGCAUUAUGUGAAAGCCCUAUGCUUAACAUAGGAACUGGAUAAAGAACUGACAAACUAGAGUGCAGAAGAGGAAGGUAGAAUUCCAGGUGUAGCGGUGAAAUGCGUAGAUAUCUGGAGGAAUACCAGUGGCGAAGGCGACCUUCUGGUCUGAAACUGACGCUGAGAUGCGAAAGCGUGGGGAGCAAACAGGAUUAGAUACCCUGGUAGUCCACGCUGUAAACGAUAUCAACUAGCCGUUUGAUUCUUAAAGAAUUUGGUGGCGAAGCUAACGCGAUAAGUUGAUCGCCUGGGGAGUACGGUCGCAAGGCUAAAACUCAAAUGAAUUGACGGGGGCCCGCACAAGCGGUGGAGCAUGUGGUUUAAUUCGAUGCAACGCGAAGAACCUUACCUACUCUUGACAUCCAAAGUACUUUCCAGAGAUGGAAGGGUGCCUUAGGGAACUUUGAGACAGGUGCUGCAUGGCUGUCGUCAGCUCGUGUUGUGAAAUGUUGGGUUAAGUCCCGUAACGAGCGCAACCCUUAUCCUUAGUUGCCAACGUAUAAAGACGGGAACUUUAAGGAGACUGCUGGUGAUAAACCGGAGGAAGGUAGGGACGACGUCAAGUCAUCAUGGCCCUUAAAGGGUAGGGCGACACACGUGCUACAAUGGCAAUACAAAGCA